GAUGAAGAACGUAGCGAAAUGCGAUACUUGGUGUGAAUUGCAGAAUCCCGCGAAUCAUCGAGUUUUUGAACGCAAGUUGCGCCCGAAGCCAUUCGGCCGAGGGCACGUCUGCCUAGGUGUCACGCAUCGUUGCCCCCCCAAACUCCGGUUCGGGCGGGGCGGAAGUUGGCCUCCCGUGCGUGCCUGCGCGCGCGGUUAGCCCAAAAGCGAGUCCUCGGCGAUGAGCGCCACGACAAUCGGUGGUUUUUUUACCCUCGUUCCUCGUCGUGCGUGCCCCGUCGCCCGAACGCGCUCUUGCAACCCUUACGCGUCGCCUCGGUGGCGCUCCCAACGCGACCCCAGGUCAGGCGGGACUACCCGCUGAGUUUAAGCAUAUCAAUAAGCGGAGGA
rnacentral:misc_RNA from 1 species